UACAGAGGUCCCAAGCGUUUGUUCGGAUUCAUUGGGCGUAAAGGGUGCGUAGGCGGCGCGGUAAGUCGGGUGUGAAAUCUCGGAGCUUAACUCCGAAACUGCAUUCGAUACUGCCGUGCUUGAGGACUGGAGAGGAGACUGGAAUUUACGGUGUAGCGGUGAAAUGCGUAGAUAAUCGUAAGGAAGACCAGUGGCGAAGGCGGCAUCCUGGACCGACACUGACACUGAGGA
rnacentral:rRNA from 1 species